rnacentral:rRNA from 1 species
AGUGAACGCUGGCGGCAGGCCUAACACAUGCAAGUCGAGCGGCAGCGGGUCCUUCGGGAUGCCGGCGAGCGGCGGACGGGUGAGGAAUACAUCGGAAUCUGCCCUGUCGUGGGGGAUAACCUAGGGAAACUUAGGCUAAUACCGCAUACGACCUACGGGUGAAAGCGGGGGAUCGCAAGACCUCGCGCGACAGGAUGAGCCGAUGUCCGAUUAGCUAGUUGGCGGGGUAAAGGCCCACCAAGGCGACGAUCGGUAGCUGGUCUGAGAGGAUGAUCAGCCACACUGGGACUGAGACACAGCCCAGACUCCUACGGGAGGCAGCAGUGGGGAAUAUUGGACAAUGGGCGCAAGCCUGAUCCAGCCAUGCCGCGUAGGUGAAGAAGGCCUUCGGGUUGUAAAGCCCUUUUGUCCGGGAAGAAAUCGUCUGGGCUAAUACCCCGGGCGGAUGACGGUACCGGAAGAAUAAGCACCGGCUAACUUCGUG